AGUCGAACGGCAGCGCGGGAGCACUCCUGGCGGCGAGUGGCGAACGGGUGAGUAAUACAUCGGAACGUGUCCUGUAGUGGGGGAUAGCCCGGCGAAAGCCGGAUUAAUACCGCAUACGAUCUACGGAUGAAAGCGGGGGAUCGCAAGACCUCGCGCUAUAGGGGCGGCCGAUGGCGGAUUAGCUAGUUGGUGGGGUAAAGGCCCACCAAGGCGACGAUCCGUAGCUGGUCUGAGAGGACGACCAGCCACACUGGGACUGAGACACGGCCCAGACUCCUACGGGAGGCAGCAGUGGGGAAUUUUGGACAAUGGGCGCAAGCCUGAUCCAGCAAUGCCGCGUGUGUGAAGAAGGCCUUCGGGUUGUAAAGCACUUUUGUCCGGAAAGAAAUCCUCUGGGUUAAUACCCCGGGGGGAUGACGGUACCGGAAGAAUAAGCACCGGCUAACUACGUGCCAGCAGCCGCGGUAAUACGUAGGGUGCGAGCGUUAAUCGGAAUUACUGGGCGUAAAGCGUGCGCAGGCGGUGAUGUAAGACCGAUGUGAAAUCCCCGGGCUUAACCUGGGAACUGCAUUGGUGACUGCAUCGCUGGAGUAUGGCAGAGGGGGGUAGAAUUCACGUGUAGCAGUGAAAUGCGUAGAGAUGUGGAGGAAUACCGAUGGCGAAGGCAGCCCCCUGGGCCAAUACUGACGCUCAUGCACGAAAGCGUGGGGA
rnacentral:rRNA from 1 species